UACAGAGGUCUCAAGCGUUGUUCGGAUUCAUUGGGCGUAAAGGGUGCGUAGGUGGCGCCGUAAGUCAGGUGUGAAAUUUCGGAGCUUAACUCCGAAACUGCAUUCGAUACUACCGUGCUUGAGGACUGGAGAGGAGACUGGAAUUUACGGUGUAGCGGUGAAAUGCGUAGAUAUCGUAAGGAAGACCAGUGGCGAAGGCGGGUCUCUGGACAGUUCCUGACGCUGAGGCACGAAGGCCAGGGGAGCAAACGGG
rnacentral:rRNA from 1 species